AAUUUUUCUUUCAUUCUUCACGCGAAUAAUUUUGUUUGUUCUUUUAUUUUUUACAAAAAAACCAAAACGAAAAAAAAUGUAAAACGUGUCUGAACUAAUUACAACUCGUAACGGUGGAUGUCUCGGCUCCUGCAUCGAUGAAGAACGCAGC
rnacentral:rRNA from 1 species